GCAAACUUGGUCAUUUAGAGGAAGUAAAAGUCGUAACAAGGUUUCCGUAGGUGAACCUGCGGAAGGAUCAUUAUCGGGAAUGCCCUCGUGGCUUAACCUGUAACCCAGUGAUGUUAUUUCUCAACUGCCUUUCGGCGGGUCAACCGCCGGAGGAAAUCUCAAACUCGUUAUGAAUGUGUCCUCAUCUGAAUGAUAUAUCAAUAAAUCAAAACUUUCAACAACGGAUCUCUUGGUUCUGGCAUCGAUGAAGAACGCAGC
rnacentral:misc_RNA from 1 species